ACGUAGGGGGCAAGCGUUAUCCGGAAUUAUUGGGCGUAAAGGGUGCGUAGGUGGUUGGGGAAGCGUGAGGUGAAAGGCAAGAGCUUAAGUAUUGUAAGCCUUGCUAACUGGAAGACUUGAGUGCAGGAGAGGAAAGUGGAAUUUCUAGUGUAGCGGUGAAAUGCGUAGAUAUUAGGAGGAACACCAGUGGCGAAGGCGACUUACUGGACUGUAACUGACACUGAGGCGCGAAAGCGUGGAGAGCAAACAG
rnacentral:rRNA from 1 species